rnacentral:rRNA from 1 species
UGAUUGAUCCUGUCAGCAUCAUAUGCUUGUCUCAAAGAUUAAGCCAUGCAUGUCUAAGUAUAAGCGUUAUACUGCGAAACUGCGAAUGGCUCAUUAAAUCAGUGUUAAUUUCCUCGACAGUAUUUUUCCUUCGGAUAACCGCAGGAAACUGGGGCUAAUACGUGCUUAAGAACUCUUUGAGUUCGCUCUUAUUAGAUUCAAAUCAACCCUGCUUGCAGGAGUCGGUGAACCAUAAUAAGGUCGCAAAUCUUCAUGAUAUGUCGAUUAAAACACUGCCCUAUCACACCACUAUGUAGGAUAGAGGCCUACAUAAGUUCUGACGGGUAACGGAGAAUUAGGGUUUGAUUCCGGAGAGGAGGCUUGAGAAAUGGCCACCAACUUCAUGGGGGGCAGCAGGUGCGAAAAUUACCCAAUCUGAAAACCAGGAGGUAGUGACAAGAAAUACUAUGAAUGGCCUUUCUGGUCCGUUUGUGGAAUGAACUGAGUCUAAAAAACUCUAUGAAUGCAACUGGAGGGCAAGUCUGGUGCCAGCAGCCGCGGUAAGUCCAGCUCCAGUAGUGUAUGUUGAUGUUGUUGCAGUUAAAAAGCUCGUAGUUGAAUUUGUGAACUGGAUAACACUGUUGACGAAACGUCUCAGAUGCUUAUCUCGUUCUUCUGGUUUGUAAGACUUUCCUACUUUAUUGAAGGACUGCUCGAGCAGACCCGUUUACUUUGAAUAAAUUGGAGUGCUCAAAACAUGUUAUUGCAAUUGAACACUACAGCAUGGAAUAAUGAAAGAGGACCUAUGUUUCCGUUUUGUUGGUAUAUCGGCAUAGGUAAUGAUUAAUAGGGACAGUUGGGGCCAUUUCUAUCUGUACGUUAGGGGUGAAAUCCUACGAUCGGACGGAGAGAAACAAAUGCGAAAGCACUUGGCAAGGAUGUUCUCAUUGAUAAAGAACGAAAGUCGGGGUAUCGAAGACGAUCAGACACCGUCGUAGUCCCGGCCAUAAACGAUGCCGACUAGGGAUUGGAGAUAGAACAAAUAUAACGACUUCUUCAGCACCUUACGAGAAAUCAAAGUUUUUGGGUUCUGGGGGGAGUAUGGUCGCAAGGCUGAAACUUAAAGGAAUUGACGGAAGGGCACCACAAGGAGUGGAGCUUGCGGCUUAAUUCGAUCAACACGGGAAAACUUACCAGGUCUGGACAUUUGUAGGAUUGACAGGUUGAGAGUCCUUUCUUGAUUCUAUGAUUGGUGGUGCAUGGCCGUUCUUAGUUGGUGGAGUGAUUUGUCUGGUUUAUUCCGUUAACGAACGAGACCUCAUCCUGCUAAAUAGCUAACUUUCACAUUUAUUUUGGAGUUAGACUUCUUAGAGGGACUGCCAGCUUUUAAGCUGGAGGAAGGGUGAGGCAAUAACAGGUCCGUGAUGCCCUUAGACGUUCUGGGCCGCACGCGUGCUACACUGACACCGUCAACGAGCU